GAUGAACGCUGGCGGCGUGCCUAAUACAUGCAAGUCGAGCGCACGGGGGUGAUGCUUGUUUCACUUAUGUUAGCGGCGAACGGGUGAGUAACACGUGGGUAACCUGCCUAUGAGCCGGGGAUAACUUCGGGAAACCAAUGCUAAUACCGCAUAAAAUCUUUAAACACAUGGUUUAAGAUUGAAAGACGCACUUGCUGCACCUUAUGGAGAUAUCCGCGCGGAUCUAGCAGGUUGGUAAGGUAACGGUCUCCCAGGGCAACAAUGCAAAGCCGACCGGGAAGGGUGUUCGGCCACACUGGAACGGAGACCCGGCCCAGACUCCUACGGGAGGAAGCGGAAGGGAAUCUCCGCCAAUGAGCGAAGUCCGGACGGAGCAAGGCGGCGGAAGUGAGGAGGUUCUUCGGUUCGUAAACCCUGUUUAUAAGGGAAGACCAUAUGUGUAGGUAACUGUGCACAACUUGACGGUAACUAAUCAGAAAGCCACGGCUAACUACGUG
rnacentral:rRNA from 1 species